UUAAGCGACUAAGCGUACACGGUGGAUGCCCUGGCAGUCAGAGGCGAUGAAGGACGUGCUAAACUGCGAAAAGCGCCGGCGAGGUGAUAUGAACCUUUGACCCGGCGAUGUCCGAAUGGGGAAACCCAGUGCAAUCCGUUGCACUAUCGUUAACUGAAUACAUAGGUUAACGAGGCGAACCGGGGGAACUGAAACAUCUAAGUACCCCGAGGAAAAGAAAUCAACCGAGAUUCCCCCAGUAGCGGCGAGCGAACGGGGAGCAGCCCGGAGUCUGAAUCAGCUUGUGUGUUAGUGGAACGGUCUGGAAAGUCCGACGGUACAGGGUGAUAGUCCCGUACACGAAAGCACACAUGCUGUGAACUCGAAGAGUAGGGCGGGACACGUGGUAUCCUGUCUGAAUAUGGGGGGACCAUCCUCCAAGGCUAAAUACUCCUGACUGACCGAUAGUGAACCAGUACCGUGAGGGAAAGGCGAAAAGAACCCCGGCGAGGGGAGUGAAAAAGAACCUGAAACCGUGUACGUACAAGCAGUGGGAGCCUCUUUAUGGGGUGACUGCGUACCUUUUGUAUAAUGGGUCAGCGACUUAUAUUCUGUAGCAAGGUUAACCGUAUAGGGGAGCCGAAGGGAAACCGAGUCUUAACUGGGCGUUAAGUUGCAGGGUAUAGACCCGAAACCCGGUGAUCUAGCCAUGGGCAGGUUGAAGGUUGGGUAACACUAACUGGAGGACCGAACCGACUAAUGUUGAAAAAUUAGCGGAUGACCUGUGGCUGGGGGUGAAAGGCCAAUCAAACCGGGAGAUAGCUGGUUCUCCCCGAAAGCUAUUUAGGUAGCGCCUCGUGAACUCAUCUUCGGGGGUAGAGCACUGUUUCGGCUAGGGGGCCAUCCCGGCUUACCAACCCGAUGCAAACUACGAAUACCGAAGAAUGUUAUCACGGGAGACACACGGCGGGUGCUAACGUCCGUCGUGAAGAGGGAAACAACCCAGACCGCCAGCUAAGGUCCCAAAGUCAUGGUUAAGUGGGAAACGAUGUGGGAAGGCACAGACAGCCAGGAUGUUGGCUUAGAAGCAGCCAUCAUUUAAAGAAAGCGUAAUAGCUCACUGGUCGAGUCGGCCUGCGCGGAAGAUGUAACGGGGCUAAACCAUGCACCGAAGCUGCGGCAGCGACGCUUAUGCGUUGUUGGGUAGGGGAGCGUUCUGUAAGCCGUUGAAGGUGUCCUGUGAGGGGUGCUGGAGGUAUCAGAAGUGCGAAUGCUGACAUAAGUAACGAUAAAGCGGGUGAAAAGCCCGCUCGCCGGAAGACCAAGGGUUCCUGUCCAACGUUAAUCGGGGCAGGGUGAGUCGACCCCUAAGGCGAGGCCGAAAGGCGUAGUCGAUGGGAAACAGGUUAAUAUUCCUGUACUUGGUGUUACUGCGAAGGGGGGACGGAGAAGGCUAUGUCAGCCGGGCGACGGUUGUCCCGGUUUAAGCAUGUAGGCGGAGGUUCCAGGUAAAUCCGGUACCUUGUUAACGCUGAGGUGUGAUGACGAGGCACUACGGUGCUGAAGUGAUAAAUGCCCUGCUUCCAGGAAAAGCCUCUAAGCAUCAGGUAACACGAAAUCGUACCCCAAACCGACACAGGUGGUCAGGUAGAGAAUACCAAGGCGCUUGAGAGAACUCGGGUGAAGGAACUAGGCAAAAUGGUGCCGUAACUUCGGGAGAAGGCACGCUGAUAUGUAGGUGAAGUCCCUGCGGACGGAGCUGAAAUCAGUCGAAGAUACCAGCUGGCUGCAACUGUUUAUUAAAAACACAGCACUGUGCAAACACGAAAGUGGACGUAUACGGUGUGACGCCUGCCCGGUGCCGGAAGGUUAAUUGAUGGGGUUAGCGGCAACGCGAAGCUCUUGAUCGAAGCCCGGUAAACGGCGGCCGUAACUAUAACGGUCCUAAGGUAGCGAAAUUCCUUGUCGGGUAAGUUCCGACCUGCACGAAUGGCGUAAUGAUGGCGAGGCUGUCUCCACCCGAGACUCAGUGAAAUUGAACUCGCUGUGAAGAUGCAGUGUACCCGCGGCAAGACGGAAAGACCCCGUGAACCUUUACUAUAGCUUGACACUGAACACUGGUCCUUGAUGUGUAGGAUAGGUGGGAGGCUUUGAAGCGUGGACGCCAGUCUGCGUGGAGCCAACCUUGAAAUACCACCCUUUAAUGGCUGGUGUUCUAACGUAGACCCGUGAUCCGGGUUGCGGACAGUGUCUGGUGGGUAGUUUGACUGGGGCGGUCUCCUCCCAAAGAGUAACGGAGGAGCACGAAGGUUGGCUAAUCCUGGUCGGACAUCAGGAGGUUAGUGCAAUGGCAUAAGCCAGCUUGACUGCGAGCGUGACGGCGCGAGCAGGUGCGAAAGCAGGUCAUAGUGAUCCGGUGGUUCUGAAUGGAAGGGCCAUCGCUCAACGGAUAAAAGGUACUCCGGGGAUAACAGGCUGAUACCGCCCAAGAGUUCAUAUCGACGGCGGUGUUUGGCACCUCGAUGUCGGCUCAUCACAUCCUGGGGCUGAAGUAGGUCCCAAGGGUAUGGCUGUUCGCCAUUUAAAGUGGUACGCGAGCUGGGUUUAGAACGUCGUGAGACAGUUCGGUCCCUAUCUGCCGUGGGCGCUGGAGAAUUGAGGGGGGCUGCUCCUAGUACGAGAGGACCGGAGUGGACGCAUCACUGGUGUUCGGGUUGUCAUGCCAAUGGCACUGCCCGGUAGCUAAAUGCGGAAAAGAUAAGUGCUGAAAGCAUCUAAGCACGAAACUUGCCCCGAGAUGAGUUCUCCCUGAGACUUUAAGUCUCCUGAAGGAACGUUGAAGACGACGACGUUGAUAGGUCGGGUGUGUAAGCGCAGCGAUGCGUUGAGCUAACCGAUACUAAUGAACCGUGAGGCUUAACCU
rnacentral:rRNA from 1 species